CUUGGUUUGGCUUGUAAGGGGCAGCAAUGGGUGAGCACUUUUCCAGAUGAGAUAAACGUUGCAAUUGCAGGGAACAUGUUUUGCGGGUCCAGUUCUCAGCCCAGAGAGCCAGUAGACUGGAGUGCUGAAACAUAUCUCCGCAGACCGUCUGUUGGGAAAAAAGCACCCGGAGCCCUACAAGAAUCUUCAGGGGAAAUAAUAAUAUUAAUAAUAAAAUCUGGAUCGUAAA